GUAAACCUACGGGGGGCAGCAGUGGGGAAUAUUGCACAAUGGGGGAAACCCUGAUGCAGCGACGCCGCGUGAGUGAAGAAGUAAUUCGUUAUGUAAAGCUCUAUCAGCAGGGAAGAAAAUGACGGUACCUGAGUAAGAAGCCCCGGCUAACUACGUGCCAGCAGCCGCGGCAAUACGUAGGGGGCAAGCGUUAUCCGGAUUUACUGGGUGUAAAGGGAGCGUAGACGGCAGUGCAAGUCUGGAGUGAAAGGCGGGGGCUCAACUCCCGGACUGCUCUGGAAACUGCACGGCUGGAGUGCAGGUGG
rnacentral:rRNA from 1 species